CUAGCAGUAGCAUUAUUGUAGUGUAGUGUUAGCUUAUUAAGCUGCACUACUAUGAAGCUACAGCUAGA